AGUUCUCUGUGAUCUUGGUGAGCGAAAUUCUGAAUGCGAGGCCACUGGUCUGGAACAUGUCCAUUCGCCCAAGUUAGCGGUCAAUCCUCUCAGUUCACCAGACCAAGAGCCACAGCCAGUCCAGCCAUGGGUUACUUCAACAGGUUCCACGUCCCUGUCUCGCAAAGAGCCCUGUCCCCCAUUGACGGAGCCAGCACAAUGUCCGCCAAAGGUGCAUCAAGUGUUUUAGGGUCAGCAACCAUCAGUUCAAGUCCCCAACUCCCAGCGGGAUCAUCCUAGAAAGCCGCAAAAAGUUAGAAGACAAGUUUGGCGAUGUAUUUCAGUAAUGCUCUUAUAAAUCCUAUACUUCCAAAGAAUUAGAAUCAGACGCUAUGUUGGUGAAAUGACGAUUAAAACAACACCUGAAAUUCUGGUGAAAGAUCGGAUCUCCACAAAUGAUACUAUCUGUUUUAAGUAAUGGUUACAUGAUUCUGUUUACAGAGUACCCUCUUCCUAUGUUAUGCCAUAAUAAUCAACCUGCUAUCAGUGAUGCUAGAUUUGUCACUGAAUCAGUCCUAGAUAUCCUUGUUUCUGGCAGAAUAAAAGAGAAAUCCCAUCCAUCCUAUAUCUUGAGCCCCUUAUCAGUGGCCACCCAGGCAUCUAGCAAGAACAGAUUAAUCUUGAAUCAGAGUAAACUCAUUAAGUAUGUCAGGAAAAAACAUUUUAAGAUGGACAAGUAUCGAAGGACAGAUAUAUCCAGCGAGAUAUUAAUGAGUGCCUGUCAAUCUCUAAAUCAGUUUUGUCCUAAGGUAUAAAGAAAGUUGUAAAAGUCCCUGUUUGUAAUGCCUGCUUGAAUAAAUUAUGCGCAGAUAUUCUUCACUUAAUAUUGUGCACCGUAUUUAAUCGCUAGGAGUAAAUAAUCAAGAAUUGAAGAAGUCAAUGUGUGUAUAUAUGUGGGAGUUACCGAUUUUGAUCUAGAAAGAAGGGAAAUUGUGAAUUUUUGAGUAUUUAUGCCUUUUUCCGAGUCAUGUCUUCUCAGAUAAAUUUUGCAUGCAGACUUAUUAAGAGCCAGAGACUAAACAUGUUACAUUCACAUACAGAGUAUACCUGCUUAAUGUGGUUAUUGUGUUGUUCUAACCAAAAUUUGUAGGCUGUAGUUUUUAAGAUUGUUAAGUUCGUAAUACUUGAUCAAGAAUUGAAGAAGACAAAAAAAGUGUUUAUAUUUUCAUUAUCAUUUUCUUUGCCUGAGAAAUACAAAAAGUGUGAAUGUGCAGUAUUUUAUGCCCGUUCAUAAAUUAAGUGUUCCAGAUUUUGUUUUUUCUUGUGGAUUAAUUUAGAUCCGCAAAGGUUAAUAUUUUGUUGUUAUUAAUAAUAUAAAACAGAGAAAGUACUCUUAAUAUUAUCGAGAUGAGUGAAAGUGCAAAGCCGAUUCCUACAAGGCCAGUAACGAUAUAACUAUAUUUGUAUAUUUUUAGUAUUUGAUCAUAGCAGUUCGAUUAACAUAUAAGUUAUAGAGAAUUGAGCAAAAAAAGAAAUGGUGUUUAUUUUGUUUGAUCAGGCUGAGUGCUGAACAGUAUUGAGGUGGAAGAGUUGUUACCAGGCCACGUCCUGAAGAGCCUAAAGGGCUUGAGCAAAUUGCAGCAUUCUCGCAGACCAAAGUACUUUUUUUACGAUUUACUGUAUUACUUCGACCAUUACUAUUACAUUAACAUUAUUAUUAAUUCAAUCCAAAAGAAUACACUUUAAAUUAUAUGCAACUGAAGAUUAUAUUUCAAAGACAAACAUUCCGAUUUAUCUAAGUAACUGCUCACUUUUAAAUUGUAAUGAAUUAUUUGUCUUAAGACAAAAUUCUGAUGAUCUUAAUUUGUUGUAACCUAUUUUUUUUAGAAAACAGCUUAUUUUAAUUUUCAAGAAAAGAAAUACGAUAUAACUAUAUCAUUUAGUUAUUACUUUAGAAGGAGCUUUAUUUAGAAAGUAUAUUAAUGAGUAAAAUGUUGUUUUUUGGCUAACAAACACUUAACGUCAUAGUGCAAGACCUACACCCAUGCUGCCAAUAAAUUAAUCCAACCUUA
rnacentral:lncRNA from 1 species